UUUCGAUGGUAAAAGUUUGUAGGAUGUCAUUAAUUUAUUGUUAAGUAUUUUCUCUUGAUAUUUGUUUAGAUCCCUGCAAGAACGAAGUAUGUGUUCAACGCUGAUGAUAAUUCCACAUCUGGGGCUUUUGUUGUCCAUAUUUUUAUCCAUUCCAUGUGCAGUCGGGAGAAUAAUCUUCAUUUGCACUUUCAAUGUUUGUAGCAUAAAAGGGUGGAACGUUAUUUGGAUUUUAGAAUUGUAGUGCUGGUGAGUCAGUAAUUAAAGGCGAGGAAAGUGCUUGUUUAGCUGCGGAAUCAGCAUGGCAGUAACCAGUAGGUCCGACGUCACCAGGUACCCAACAAAGAGUAAUUUUAAUUUGAUUAAUUCCAUUUAAAUUGCUCAUUUAUUAGUCAAAUCGUUAGACCAUAUAUGACUAAUACACUACAAAAUUAACAAUAAAAGUUUUCUUAAAAAUAAA